rnacentral:rRNA from 1 species
UACGGAGGGUGCAAGCGUUAUCCGGAUCCACUGGGCUUAAAGGGAGCGUAGGCGGGUUGGUAAGUCAGUGGUGAAAUCCCCGAGCUUAACUUGGGAACUGCCAUUGAUACUAUCAGUCUUGGAUACUGUGGAGGUUAGCGGAAUAUGUCAUGUAGCGGUGAAAUGCUUAGAUAUGACAUAGAACACCAAUUGCGAAGGCAGCUGGCUGCACAAUUAUUGACACUGAGGCUCGAAAGCGUGGGGAUCAAACAGG